rnacentral:rRNA from 1 species
UACGAGGGGGGCAAGCGUUGUUCGGAAUUAUUGGGCGUAAAGGGCGCGUAGGCGGUGCGGUAAGUCUGAUGUGAAAUCUCCGGGCUCAACUCGGAGUCUGCAUCAGAAACUGCCGUGCUCGAGUGUGGGAGAGGUGAGUGGAAUUCCUGGUGUAGCGGUGAAAUGCGUAGAUAUCAGGAGGAACACCUGUGGCGAAAGCGGCUCACUGGACCAUAACUGACGCUGAUGCACGAAAGCUAGGGGAGCAAACAGG